AAAGGUAUCUUUAUUAUGACUUUGGAUAUUGUUAAUAUUUUUUGGAAAUACAAAAACUAAUUUAUUUCCAAACAGCAAGCUAAAGUCGUUUUGAAAUGUUUAUUUUUUUCUGUUCAAAAUAAUAGGAGUUAUAUGAAAAUGUUGUUUAUAAAUAAGAGUCUUGUGGCAUUUAAGUGACAUUUUGAAAAAAAUUAAAUUUUCAGAGUUACAGAAUAUAUUCUGGGUUGUUUUCAGAAUACUAACCUGUUAACUAGGGAAUAAAUUUUUGUUCAACUUGUUUCACUAUGGAGCUUUUCACAGUUAUAAGUAUUGUCAUCACACCUUAAGUAAUCUCCAUGAGGAAAAAUGUCAUGCCCAUUGCAGUACGCUUAAUCCAUAAAAAAGUGGACAUAUUGAUACAAACUUUAAGUUCCUUCAAUAUAUUUGAAAUUUUGAAUAUUAACUUUAAAAAUAUGUAUUAUUUUAUAUUGCAAUGAAAAGGAAGAAAUUUUUUGUCAUUAACUUGCUUAUUUUAAUUUAUAAAGUGACAUUAUGUCUGUUUGGAAAGACAACCAAAAAUCUUUGUUUCAUGGUCUCGUAUAGCUCAAGUAAUUCUGCAAAUAUCUUAACUCAUCUAUACAAUCUGAUAGCCUAUUAUUGAGAGUGUUUGCCUGAAGAAAAGUGUUAACUUAUUUUCAUUACAAAUGAAGGAGUCAUGAAAUGGUCAUGAAAUUCUCGUAAAAAGAUUAAGGAAACCCCUUAAAUAUGCAGACUAUCUGGAAAAGAUGUUUUGACACAUGUUUCUGAAUCUUGGACAAUAACAAAACUGGAGGAAAAUUGUAUCACAAUAUUUGAGAGAAAGAUUUCGGGUAGUAUACUUGGUGGUGUAAAUGAAAACAAUAACUGGAGAAGGAGAUUUAACUUUGAACUGUACAAGAUUUAUAAGCAACCCGAUAUUAUUAAAGACAUAAAAAUAAAUAUAAUGGAUUAGAUGGCCCGUGUGAUUCAAAUGAGUUAUGACAAUACAAUGAGAAAGAUAAUGCUUUUUAGUCCCACUGGAACAAGAAAGCAUCAAAGGCCGCGCUUGAGAUGGGCUGACUCUGUGGAGUCUGUUUUUCUUGCAAUUAAUGAAAAGAAUUGGAGAUAAAUCGGAAGAUGUUAUGGAGAAAUCUUCAGAGGAAGGCAUUGCGCUGUCUGGACAACUAUGAUGAUGAUCUAGAAAAGAGAAGGGAAGAGACAAAAGCAAGGAGGAAAAAAAUUUAAACAAAAAAACAGCCAAGAAGGAAAAACAAUUAAAUUGGCAAAAGAAGAAUAGGAAACAAAGAAAAAUAAUAUUAUUACCUACUGUCUCAUUUAUUAAUAUAUUCGUUAAAAAAAUUCGCUUUUUAUCUAUUUGUGUGUGUCAUUAUUUUGUUAAUCAUACAAGUCAUAUCCUCAACAGGAUAUCACACUUCCAACAAAAACUUUGAAUAUUUCCUACACAAGCAAGAAAUGAGAAAGUAAAUUAAUUUUUUUCAUAGAAUAAUUAUUUAAACGUUAUUGUCUGACAUAAAAGGAGCAUAGUUCACACAGUUGUUAUAAUUCACAGAAUUUUGAGUUUUAGUUCUGAAAGAUGCUUUCAAUUAUAUGCAAACCACGGUUAAAGUUUAUACAAAAUAAUAGUUGGAUUUCGAAAAAAAAUUGUGGUUGAAAUUAAAGAACUACUUGUCACAAACUGUCACAAUUUCAUAAGCACUUCCCCCUUCUAAGCAUGACAUAAUUUAUGGAUGAAUCCUAGAAGAUGAAUUGCAAUUGCAAAUUAUAAUUACCAAGAAUAACUUAAUUACAGCAUCAUCUAAUAUUAUUUUCUCAAACCUUUCAAAACAAUUUUCAUGAAAAUUUAUCCUUUCUGAAAGACUUGGUAAUACCACCUUGUUGUCUAAUUUCAAAAGUCAUAAUUGCCAAAAAUCCAUAAUUUAGUAAAAAUUUUA